GAACUACUCUACACUACAUAAUUAACAUUUUCUUGUCUCCCUUGCAGAUCCUUGCAGGUCAAACGAGUCACCUGCCCGAACCUAGAUACACCUGAUUUACCGAACCCAAAGGCACUUUUAAGAGCCAACCUCUAUCUAUCUAUCUAUCUAUCUAUCUAUCUAACUCUUGCAACCUCUGUGUAUACAGUACAUCUGUCUGUUUGUGUCUGUCUGUCUGGCUGUGUGUUCGUCUGUCUGUAUCUGUUUGCGUUGCAAUGGCCACCAAGCAUAAACUUGACUCACAGGAUCCCCACUACCAAGAGGGAAGACGCAUGGCUUUUGAACUGAAACUAGACUGUGUUCUAGCUGAAGCCAGGACAGCAGCUGUGGAGAGGAAACACGCUCUGUAGGAGACCCUCCACAGACCUCUAAAAGGGAGUUUUUAGGACAUGGCAAGCCGAGGGGGAGGCAAGGAGGGCGAUGCCAAGCUUCAGCUACAGUCACACAAACCCCGGUUGAGUGCUCCCUGUCAUCCAGUGUGGAGGUUCCACUUACUGUACCCUCAGCAGAAUUAAAUCCUCAAGAGCAAUUUGAAAAAAAUAUGGAGAGGCUUUCUGUUAUUUUGGCAUCAUAUCCUUCUGCUGAGCCUCAAAGAAGCUCUGCAUCAUCAUGGUCUUUUCAGCAGCAGAAAUCCUCAGAGUGCUGGAAAGAAGCAAGACCAUACCACCUAAAAUGCCUCAUUGCAAAAGAGGCUGUUGGUCAUCUCUUGUGUUGGCUUUGCCACGAGCCUGCUGUUAUUAGAUUGGUUUUCAUUAAUGUUAAACUUUAAUUACCCAGGGUAGGCCUGCUGAGAAUUAAUGCACAGUGCCCUGCUUUAUAGGCUAGGAUGCAUGUGUGUUGGGGUGGGAGAAAACUUGGAUACCCAGAUGAAUUAAACCUAGUGUCUAACUAAAUUUGGAAUAGCUUAAAUUGAGUGUGUUGUACUUUAUAUUAUUCACCUGAAAUAAUAUAUUAGAAUUUUUAUUUUAUUUUCUCCCUAGGUGCAGAGAGUGUCGUCCUGAGGAGUGGUUCUGUGGAGACUGUGAUGUACUGCAUCACAAAAAACAGCCACUCCACAACAGGGAAUGUGCCAUUCCUCCAACCUCAUGUGUCAUGAAAGGGAAAGAUGGAUAUUGCAGCCAUGAGCAAGCUUGCCUUUUGCCAACUGUGAAGGUGCCAGACUGCUCCUGUGAAGGCACAAACUUCAUCGUGUUACCAGGCAAACCAGUGAUUUUAAUUACCAUCAAUGCCACUAUAUGUUUGUCAAACGUGCCAGCAUCACUGGACCCCUGACUUGAAGGACCUCCUUAGGAGUGGAUAUUGGCCAGCCUCUGUCACCAGUUCCACACUUUAUACACUGGACCUCCUGAGCUCAUUUCAGGAACUCAAGGUCAUCUCUCCGGGAUUCUCCAGACAAGCCUUCGCAAAGCUGCUAGAGCAUCACACUAAGGUUGGAGGAAGAUCUGGACAUAUCAACGGUGAUACACUACAGCACAGCUUCUUAGAGUUCUGCUUCAUUUGCGGAAGACCAGCUCUGCUGUGGUGCUCCUUUCACCUGCCCAGCCUGCACGCCGGAAAUGUUGGCUGUUUCAGCCGAUGGAAACAGAAAGCUAUAUCGCUUUCGCCAAGACACAAGCUCUGAUGAUCCUGCCUUUUUUGAGGGGCUCUUUGUGGCUGAAGACGUUGCGGUGUCUAGAUUUGUGGAAACCAUACAGAAAGCAGUGAGAAAUACACAGGGAAAAGGCACAUGUGGGGACUCCCAGUGGACAGCAGCGAGGGUGACAUCAAGGAGGGCUUCCAAAUUGGAUGAAGAGGGGAUGGAGGUUGCAGUGUGUCUCCACGGAUUCCUUCUGAAAGCUCUUAAUAUGUACAGGGGUAGAUAUGCUACUAAGUGUGAAAUUAAAUGGAGUGGUAGGAACCAGGAAGGAGCAGGGACAGCCGCCGGUGAGGAGGUCGAGCAAGUGAACAGCUACCUCUCACGUUGUGCCCUGGCAACCAAAUAUAUGUCCAAAGCAGCACGGGUGGACAUGCUUACAUUGCAUGCAAUGGGGUGGAACCACAAAAAAAGUCUCUCUCUAUAUCAAUCACUUUCAACAAGAUAUGUGAAGACAUGUCAGAGACUCCGGGAUGAAACGGCAAGGCUAGCUGAACUAAAAACAGAGUUACUUUGCGCAGAUGAAUUGGUGUCACAGUGGCUUUCUGAUGUGAAGGAAUGGGCAGCUGGCAAGACACCAGCUACAUCUCAUGCCAGUCAAGGCACCACACACAGAGGACUUCAGCAGUCAAUUGAGGGGCUUUACCUUAGUGUGAGGCACCGUCAGAAUGGUGUAACUAUAGAAUAUAACAGCAGCAAGCUUCGCCACUGCCUUCGAAGGAAGCUGGGAGAAGACAAAAAUCUCCUUCUUCAGGAGAUAGAGAAAUACAAUGGUCUUAUACACUCUGCCACUAACAUUGAGGUGGAGCUGUGGUGGAGCAUUCCCUGACUGGAGAGAGCACUGUGUCUCAAAUAUGGCCGUGGGAGGUUCAUGGCAGUGGUAUGUCAGUUUUCAGAUGCUUCACAAGAAUUUAUUUACACUUCUGCUAUAUAGAGUACACUGAACUAAGACAUGGAUGUAACAUAUUGAGUGUUGUAAUGUUCAUUUAGUUUAUGGGUGCAUUUUCUGUUUUCUUAUGUAUCAAUUUGAUUAAAAAAGUACAUGUUUGUAGUUAUAAAACAUUGCAAUGCUAUUAUGCUCAUGUAUAGAUUGUCUCGUGUAUACAUAUAGCUGUUGUUGAUUCUUAGUGAUGUUGUUGAUUUGUUCUACUGUGGCUGUUACAUGAAAGCUGAAAUUAACAAAAUAAUUUUGAACAUUAGAAUUUGUGUCCUGGUGUGUUACACGAGGUUAGCAUAACAUCAAGAUUAAGCUUAUUAUUAUCUCCUCCAGUCAACAUAGAAAAUCUAGCUGGUCAGCAUCAUCAAACACACCUUUUUCUUGAUGUAACUUCUUGAAUGCUACACAAGGUGUUACUUUAGCACAACUGUAGUGAAGAAGAAAGAUGUUAGCUAUUAGACAUUGGCUCUAACACAAAACGCUUUUCUGCUGCUUUGGGCCUCGCUGCAUAAAGUCCCUCAGUGAGCCAUCAGAGUUUAUACAGAAGGUAGCCAGGUAGUAUGACAGUGAUACACAUAAAAAUGCCAGCCAUCCUGGUAUAUAGAUUUGAAUGGGUGAAAUCUUUUUACUCCAUUGAAGUUCUUUGGCCUCAUGAAGCAGUCUUAAUAUGUAGUUUGUCCUUAGAGGCCCUGAGGCCUCUGCCCUUCUACAUGUUGAAGCAGAAGAUCAAAGUGGCCUCAGUAGUCCACAGACACCAGUGAGGAUGUAGAAGAAAACACAAUUUAGCUGAGCUUCACCUUCUUAUCCUACCUUUUGCAUUUUUGUUUUUCUGUAUUUCCCCAAAUGGAAGCUGCACAAAGGACUGUGUUGAAGGAAAUGGACUUGCCCAGUAUCUGUGUAUUUUUAGUAUGCUGAUUGAUUUACCACAUCAAAAUCUGUAUGCAUUCAAUAUUGUUGAAAAUUAAACUUGUGUCUGUAGAUUGCCAAGCAAUUCAGUAAGCACAUGAAUGCUCCUUGAAGAUGCACAAACCUCUUAGUAUAGGUGCACCAAUCUGUGACCUUUCCUCUUGUGUAAAACUCAAGGCUAAACUUUUGACUUGUAUACAACAAAUGUUAGGAACCGAUUUCUAAGAGCAUUCUCCAGCUUCCCAGGCACAGGCAUUCCCUUGUAGCACAACCCUCAGACCAGAAUGUAAAGUUCAAUAUUGUCUAUUGGGCAGAUUUGCCAUGAAAUCUGGUAAGCAAAUUCAUGAUGACGACUUUGGUGACCUCAUGAUGUUUCCUCUAUCGCGACAUUUUGGCCGAAAUGUAAAAGCUCAUUCUUCAUUACUUGCAUUUUCCCCACACUCGCUUAUUCUGCAGUGCAGCAGGUCUGUGCCUUUUUUGUCCAGAGGGGUAUUAUAGGAUAUAGGGGUAUGGGGUAUGGGGGUUAUUAUAGGUAUUAUAGGGGUAUGAGUGUAUUAUAGGAUAUAACUGUUGUGUAACUUUAUAUUACUGCACCAUUGAAGAUAAACAUCAUAACAAAUUCUUUCUUAAAGAUGGUUAUUUCAUUUAUAAUUUGUCUGUCACUGUCAGUUUUGUCCUUAUGGGGUUUCGGCAGGUCCUUAAAAAGUUAAAACAGUUAUAUCGGAUCUAAGGCCAUAAAAAUGUCUUAAAUGGUACAAGACAGUCCUAAUUACGAUUUUUUAUGAUUUUUAUGAUAGGUUCAUGUGACGAUUUAACUUCAAAAGGCUGUGAUUUAAUUGAAUAAAUGGGCACUGCAUGUUUUAAAGUCAGAUGCUGUGCUGCUUUGUGUACUGCCGUUACCAGGGAACCCUGCUGAUAGAAAAUGAAUUGGCAUUUUCAAUAAACCCGUCUGGUGGUGUUGUUCAGACCAAAUAAAAAAAUCUACAAAUAUUUUUACACAGCAAACACGCAUUUAUAAAUGUGAACUGGUAGAUCAACAGUAAGCUCAUGCUAAUGCUUUAUAAAAUUCUAAACAAUUAAUUGAUAUAAAUAAAUAAUAAAAAUAAAUAAAUAAAUUGAUAUUUUAUGUUAUUAUAUUAAUAUAAAUGAUUGAUAAUUGUUUCAAUUAAUGAUACUUUUGACUCGACUCUUUUCUUAAAAGUAGUUGAAAUGUUGAAAUGUGAAGUUUAUCAUUUUAUAAAACUUUGUUUUUGUGAAAACUUAUAAAAUAGUAAAUCAUGCUUUUUUUUUCCAUUCAGUCAUGGUAUUCAUUUUAUUUGUGCAGGUCUUAAAAAGCUCUUUAAAGUCUUACAUUUGAUUUUAAAAAUCCUGCAGAUACUCUGUUAGAAGCACACUGUACAUUACACUUACAUUAAGUACUUGUAUAAUGGCUUAGAUAGUAUGUCAGAAAAAUUAUGUUAUAAUUUUACUUUAUGUUGCAUGUUAUUACAGUUGACAAAUAACUUGAUUCCCUGUUCUGCUGGUGCUUUUCAAGUGAACUUAAGCACAUGGUCCAGUGUUAUUAAAUACAGCCUUAUGGCUUGUUUUACCAAUAUGCAUACUCAUAAUAUGGUGUAUUUUCACUGGAAAUUGUUGUGAAUGGCAAGAAAUAAAGUAAAGUAUUUCCAAAGAUGAGCAUUUUAUGUUUUCAAUUAAUUACCAG